rnacentral:rRNA from 1 species
AACAGGAUUAGAUACCCUGGUAGUCCAUGCCGUAAACGGUGGGUACUAGGUGUGGGUUUCCUUCCACGGGAUCCGUGCCGUAGCUAACGCAUUAAGUACCCCGCCUGGGGAGUACGGCCGCAAGGCUAAAACUCAAAGAAAUUGACGGGGGCCCGCACAAGCGGCGGAGCAUGUGGAUUAAUUCGAUGCAACGCGAAGAACCUUACCUGGGUUUGACAUACACCGGAAACCUGCAGAGAUGUAGGCCCCCUUGUGGUCGGUGUACAGGUGGUGCAUGGCUGUCGUCAGCUCGUGUCGUGAGAUGUUGGGUUAAGUCCCGCAACGAGCGCAACCCUUAUCUUAUGUUGCCAGCGCGUAAUGGCGGGGACUCGUGAGAGACUGCCGGGGUCAACUCGGAGGAAGGUGGGGACGACGUCAAGUCAUCAUGCCCCUUAUGUCCAGGGCUUCACACAUGCUACAAUGGCCGGUACAGAGGGCUGCGAUACCGCGAGGUGGAGCGAAUCCCUUAAAGCCGGUCUCAGUUCGGAUCGGGGUCUGCAACUCGACCCCGUGAAGUUGGAGUCGCUAGUAAUCGCAGAUCAGCAACGCUGCGGUGAAUACGUUCCCGGGCCUUGUACACACCGCCCGUCACGUCAUGAAAGUCGGUAACACCCGAAGCCGGUGGCCUAACCCCUUGUGGGAGGGAGCCGUCGAAGGUGGGAUUGGCGAUUGGGACGAAGUCGUAACAAGGUAACC